GGUUUCUUGUAUAAAAGUAGGAGAUUUAACCUGCCCAUUGAAUAAAGGAUUAAAAGGCCGCAGUAAUUUGACUGUGCAAAGGUAGCAUAAUCAUUAGUUUUUUAAUUGAAAGCUAGAAUGAAUGGUUGAACGAGGUAAAAGCUGUUUUAUAGUAAAUGAAUUGAAUUUAUAAAUUAAGUAAAAAGACUUAAAUAUAUUAAGGGGCGAGAAGACCCUAUAGAGUUUAAUAAAUUUAUUUUUAAUUAAGUUUAAUUAAAAAAUUUUUAAUUAUGGAAAGGUUUAUUUAAUUGGGGAGAUUAAAAAAUAAAAAAAACUUUUUUUUUUGUUGAAUUUAUAUAAUUAGAUGAUGGAUCCAUUAUUAGUGAUAAAAAGAUUAAAUUACCUUAGGGAUAACAGCAUAAUUUUCUUUAAAAGUUCAUAUUGAAAAGAGAGAUUAUGACCUCGAUGUUGGAUUAAGAUAAAUUUUGGGUGUAGAUGUUCAAAAAUUAGGUCUGUUCGACCUUUAAAAUCUUACA
rnacentral:rRNA from 1 species